rnacentral:tRNA from 1 species
GGGCAGGUGCCGAAAUUGGUAUCCGGAGGGGACUUAAAAUCCCCGGGCCGAAAGGCCGUGUGGGUUCGAGUCCCACCCUGCCCACCA